GUCACCGCCCCCUCCUGUUUCCUCCGGCUCUUUUCAGAGGAGCUCCCCCAAUCCCCGUCCCCUGCGAUCUGGAGCCUAGCCUCGCGCAACCUUUCAUUUCUAGGAAACACGGAGUAGAAAUGAAACCGAAACCGAACCUGAGUCCCCUGGGAAAUGCGCGAUGGAGGUGGGGGAGUGGCUCAGAGUCGCCCAGGACGCCCCUGCAGGGCCAGAGCGCACCCCCCACCCAGCGUGCCUUCACCCUGGGAGCACUGACCGCGCUCGUGCCAGGACCCCGGGCGCACAGCAGACAGCGCGGACCUCGUGUCCUCGGCUGGCCGGUGCUCAGCCUGCAGGCAGAGGCCAGGCAGUGCGCAAAGGCCGCGUGUGAUGAAGGGCUUGCGGGGCAGGCACGCACGGCUCCGGGAAGAGGGCCGCCAGCCUGGAGGAAGAGGCGCCGGAGCCCAGCGCAGAGCCCAGAAGAAGGAGCCCCUGAGCAGGGGACGUUCAUGUCGUGAAGAGGGUAUUUAAGUGAAGCCCUGAACACCAGCUCCGCAGUUUGGAAUUGUGCUCUGUGCCUCAGCGGGGCACCGCGCAGCACUGUAACCAGGGUGUCAGCUUCCUAGUUUCGACACAACUGACCAGCACUCCUGGCUGCUGAGACCACUGACCACGGAGUGGUUCUGGCCAGGCUCUGGAGGCUGUCCACAGAGGGCCUCUGCCUCACCUCUUGCUGCCAGAGGGCCGAAAACUCCACCCUUGGAUCAUGCUAAUGCCGUCACUUUCUGAACAUGGGUCCCACCACAUAGCAUGGGGCUCAAUUGCACAUGCACAUGUUUCUCCUUCCAUAAAUAUCCCUGGCUCCUUCUAUAGCUCGUCAAAUAUGUGCACUCAGCCACCCCACUCAGCAUAAAUUCCUGUUCCCAUUGCCCCUCCCUCCAAGCCGCUCUCAGCUCCUGCCAGAGGCUCUGCUUCCCAGUGGUCAGAAUGGCCACCUGGGGGUUGUAACCCUUUAUGAGAAAUAAAGCUCUCCUUUCCAAAUA